AUACUUACCUGGCAGUUGGAAUACCACGAUCAAGAAGGUGGUGUCCCCAGGCUGAGGCUCCUCCAUUGCACUUUUUAUUUGAGUAGACUCCUGUGAUUUCCUCAAAUGUGGGAAACUCAGCUGUAUAAUUUAAGAUAUUGGGGAACUACGUUCACUCAGUCCACA